rnacentral:rRNA from 1 species
AGUGAACGCUGGCGGCAGGCCUAAUACAUGCAAGUCGAACGGCAGCACAGCAGAGCUUGCUCUGUGGGUGGCGAGUGGCGGACGGGUGAGGAAUACAUGGGAAUCUGCCCAGUCGUGGGGGAUAACGUAUGGAAACGUACGCUAAUACCGCAUGCGCCCUAAGGGGGAAAGCCGGGGACCGCAAGGCCUGGCGCGAUUGGAUGAGCCCAUGUUCGAUUAGCUAGUUGGCGGGGUAAAGGCCCACCAAGGCGACGAUCGAUAGCUGGUCUGAGAGGAUGAUCAGCCACACUGGAACUGAGACACGGUCCAGACUCCUACGGGAGGCAGCAGUAGGGAAUAUUGGACAAUGGGGGCGAACCCUCGAUCCAGCCAUGCCGCGUGAGUGAAGAAGGCCCUCGGGUUGUAAAGCUCUUUUGUCCGGAAGAAAGCAAUCGGUUAAUACCCGGUUGUUCUGACGGUACCGGAAGAAUAAGCACCGGCUAACUUCGUGCCAG